rnacentral:rRNA from 1 species
ACCGGGCGGGUGCUAUACAUGCAGUUGAGCGCUGAAGGUUGGUACUUGUACCGACUGGAUGAGCAGCGAACGGGUGAGUAACGCGUGGGGAAUCUGCCUUUGAGCGGGGGACAACAUUUGGAAACGAAUGCUAAUACCGCAUAAAAACUUUAAACACAAGUUUUAAGUUUGAAAGAUGCAAUUGCAUCACUCAAAGAUGAUCCCGCGUUGUAUUAGCUAGUUGGUGAGGUAAAGGCUCACCAAGGCGAUGAUACAUAGCCGACCUGAGAGGGUGAUCGGCCACAUUGGGACUGAGACACGGCCCAAACUCCUACGGGAGGCAGCAGUAGGGAAUCUUCGGCAAUGGACGAAAGUCUGACCGAGCAACGCCGCGUGAGUGAAGAAGGUUUUCGGAUCGUAAAACUCUGUUGGUAGAGAAGAACGUUGGUGAGAGUGGAAAGCUCAUCAAGUGACGGUAACUACCCAGAAAGGGACGGCUAACUACGUGCCAGCAGCCGCGGUAAUACGUAGGUCCCGAGCGUUGUCCGGAUUUAUUGGGCGUAAAGCGAGCGCAGGUGGUUUAUUAAGUCUGGUGUAAAAGGCAGUGGCUCAACCAUUGUAUGCAUUGGAAACUGGUAGACUUGAGUGCAGGAGAGGAGAGUGGAAUUCCAUGUGUAGCGGUGAAAUGCGUAGAUAUAUGGAGGAACACCGGUGGCGAAAGCGGCUCUCUGGCCUGUAACUGACACUGAGGCUCGAAAGCGUGGGGAGCAAACAGGAUUAGAUACCCUGGUAGUCCACGCCGUAAACGAUGAGUGCUAGAUGUAGGGAGCUAUAAGUUCUCUGUAUCGCAGCUAACGCAAUAAGCACUCCGCCUGGGGAGUACGACCGCAAGGUUGAAACUCAAAGGAAUUGACGGGGGCCCGCACAAGCGGUGGAGCAUGUGGUUUAAUUCGAAGCAACGCGAAGAACCUUACCAGGUCUUGACAUACUCGUGCUAUUCCUAGAGAUAGGAAGUUCCUUCGGGACACGGGAUACAGGUGGUGCAUGGUUGUCGUCAGCUCGUGUCGUGAGAUGUUGGGUUAAGUCCCGCAACAAGCGCAACCCCUAUUGGUAGUUGCCAUCAUUAAA